UGAUUCUAAUUCAAGUAUCCCUGAUAAAACUGAGAAUGGUGACAUGGGUGCUGCAGAUUCAAAUUCCUCUACUAAAUCAGAGCCAGCUGGAUCAGAUAAGGUCGUUAAACCUGAAGUCACUACUGAAGCACAGGUCAAGUCUGAUGGAUCAGAUAAGAUCAUUAAACCUGAACCUGAAGUUAAAACUGAAGCAGAGGUCAAUUCUGGUUCAUCUUCAACAACAAAGGAGACUGCAGAUGCUGCUAAAGACGAGAACUCAGAUGUCAAGAAUGAAUCAGGUGGAGCAGGAGGAGACUCAGGCUCUUCUGCAACAGAUGGAACUGAAGCCGUUGUUCAGGAUCACAUUGAUUCUUCUGAUUCUUCAGUUGGCCAAGAAGAGAAACAGGCUCGAAUAAAUCUGGAUACUCUGCCAGAGAAUAGUGGAGUAGGAGUUAAUAGCCGAGAUGCUGCGGCAGAAUGAGAAUUUUUAUGAAAUGCUGUGUGCUUCUGAGUGAUCUAAAUGUUAAGUUACUUGCUCACUCUGUUUUGAUGCGCAAACAUGGAGAGCUUGGAGUAUUUCCUGUCAACUUUGGAAUAUGAUGUAGGAAUACAGUUUUAGCAUUGCAAAUAUAGGUAGAUUGAUGCCAUUCAUAGUUGUUUCUGUAUAAUUUAUUGCAAACUUUUGUUGAUUUUCCUUUUAACAUCUUUCUUUUUAGGUAUUUUUCUGAUGUUAGUGAGUGGCUUGUUCAUUUUAUGAUAUAAAUUGAGGUUUUCAAGAAGUGAAACAUAUAUUGGCAAUGUAUUCAAUUGACUUUAUAUCAAUGAAUCUAGAACAGAGAGUUGAG
rnacentral:misc_RNA from 1 species